rnacentral:miRNA from 1 species
UUGGUAUUGUUUUUUGUUUU